rnacentral:rRNA from 1 species
AUGCGCCGGUUGCAUCAAAACAACAGUUUGCCAUGGCUACUGAUUGGGGAUUUGAAUGAAAUUCAGUUUCUGUCUGAGAAGGAAGGAGGGAACCCGAGACCACCACAAUACAUGCACGCCUUCCAGUCAGCGAUUGAUGAUUGCGAGCUGCGAGAGAUGGGCUAUAUUGGCAAUCAGUUCACGUGGCAGAGGGGUGGAAUUAGGGAGAGGCUGGAUAGAGGGCUAAUCAACGUUGGAUGGGAAGCUCUGUACCCAUCAGCGGCAUUGAAAAACAUGCAUUAUAAUCAUUCGGACCAUCGUCCAAUUCUGGUUGAUACAGAAUACUAUGCUACAACUUUUGCAGGAGGGGAUCGUACAAAGCGCUUCGAAGCGAGGUGGCUAAAGGAAAGAGAAUUUCCGGAGUUGGUACAAGAGGCUUGGCAUCAAGCUAAUCAGAACCCGAACCUCACAAACAUCCAAGAGAAGCUAAACCGAAUGCAUGAAUCGUUCCAUGACUGGGAUCAAAGGGUUUUGAAGAAACCAAAGAAGAGACUCCGGAAGGCCCAAAGAGAACUUGAAGAAGUUAUGACGGGUCCAAUGGAUGAAGAUAGUGAGGCGAAGAGGAAGGAGAUCUCAGAACUCAUAGAGUUCUUACUUGAGCUAGAAGAAAUCCAUUAUAUGCAGCGAUCAAGAGCGGGAUGGCUUAAACAUGGUGAUCGCAACACCGGUUUCUUCCAAGCCUAUGCAAAUGCUAGGCGAAAAAAGAACAUGAUUACAAAGUUGAGAGAGGAGAAUGGAAACACAUUGGAGGUAUGGAAGCUCUAA